CAACCUGCCCAGAAAACUCUCAACUUUUCCAUCUUUUCUUUCUCUCCAAUUCUAUUCUCUUCUCCUCUACCUUCUCCAUUCUUGGAAAAACAAGUCUAGAAAUUUUUUUAUUUUUUUGUUUUUAAAUUAAAGAAGAAGAAGAAGCUAUCCUAGAUGGGUGAUGCUUCAGCUGAGUAUAUCCACAUGGUGCACCACCUAAUAGAAGAGUGCCUAAUGUUCAAGAUGAGUAAGGAGGAAUGCAUGGAAGCACUCUCUAAACAUGCAAAUAUCCAGCCACUUAUCACUUCCACUGUGUGGAAGGAAUUAGAGAAAGAGAACAAAGAGUUCUUUGAGGCGUACAAGAAGCAGGGAAGAGAGGAAAGUGCAGAAAUAAUGGAGACGACAAGGCAAAAAGUUGAGAAGAUGGUUUUAGGUUCUUGGAAGAAAGACCCAAAAGACGAAGCAUGAUGAUGAUGAUGAGUAUAUUCAAUAAUAAUAAGCUAAGAUACAUAUAUAUAUAUAAUGAUGAUGAUAAGGGUAUCUGAUCUGCGACGUAUGGGAUAGCGCAGCAUGGGGAAGUGUCGAUAUGAUGUUGAUAAGGCCGGGCAUCAUAUAUGUUUAAUUUGCUGGGUGUAAUAUAUUUUGUCGUGUGGAAUUUGUUGGAGAGCAGCUGGAUGAAAUAAAUGAAGUAGUACGUUGAGAAAGGGAAGAAAGGGACGUACAUUUUUGUAUCCAAAAUUAAUGGUUGGUCACAAAUGUUUUUGCGGUACAUAUAUGAUAGCCCCCUUUCAUUCAUCA